rnacentral:rRNA from 1 species
AACGUAGGAGGCGAGCGUUAUCCGGAGUUACUGGGCGUAAAGCGCGUGUAGGUGGCUUGUUACGUCUGCUGUGAAAGCGCCCGGCUUAACCGGGACGAUGCGGUAGAUACGGGCAAGCUUGAGGGUGACAGAGGAGCGUAGAAUUCCGGGUGUAGUGGUGAAAUGCGUAGAGAUCCGGAGGAACACCAGCGGCGAAGGCGGCGUCCUGGACUGGUACUGACGCUCAGGAGCGAAAGCGUGGGGAGCGAUCCGG